UAUGGUAUGUGCCAGCAGCCGCGGUAAAACGUAGGUCACAAGCGUUGUCCGGAAUUACUGGGUGUAAAGGGAGCGCAGGCGGGAGAACAAGUUGGAAGUGAAAUCCAUGGGCUCAACCCAUGAACUGCUUUCAAAACUGUUUUUCUUGAGUAGUGCAGAGGUAGGCGGAAUUCCCGGUGUAGCGGUGGAAUGCGUAGAUAUCGGGAGGAACACCAGUGGCGAAGGCGGCCUACUGGGCACCAACUGACGCUGAGGCUCGAAAGUGUGGGUAGCAAACAGG
rnacentral:rRNA from 1 species